AUUUCAUCAAUAAGCUUACCUAAUGGCAUCCAGGCUGAAGUUCGUGGCUUCCAACAUGACGGCUCCUUGCACCUAUAACAAUUUCAGUGAAAGGGCAUAAAUUGCUUGAUAUAUUGAACCUUCAUAAGGGGUCACCAAAUAAAGGUCAAGAAUAGUAUGCUAAAAAGAGUGGCUGCUGAGGAUGAUCUUUCCCAAAUGAAAGCAUUUUCUUAAUCAUGUUUGACACAUGUAAUUGCAUAUAUUUCACCAUGCCCCAUAUAUAUUGGUGGUUGACCUUGUUAUUUGAGUUAAUUGCAUAAAUAUUCAAGAGCUUAUUUGGCAUGGAUAAUAGCAACAUCUAUUUCUUCUA